rnacentral:rRNA from 1 species
UACGUAGGGUGCGAGCGUUAAUCGGAAUUACUGGGCGUAAAGCGUGCGCAGGCGGUUAUGCAAGACAGAUGUGAAAUCCCCGGGCUUAACCUGGGAACUGCAUUUGUGACUGCAUAGCUGGAGUGCGGCAGAGGGGGGUAGAAUUCCACGUGUAGCAGUGAAAUGCGUAGAGAUGUGGAGGAAUACCGAUGGCGAAGGCCAGCCCCCCUGGGAUAACACUGACGCUCAUGCAACGAA